CGGCUGUUAACUGACUGGUCGUAGGUUCGAAUCCUACUUGGGGAGAUUUUAUAGUUAUCGCUUUUCUGACCUUUUUUAGUGCCCCUGUCCUUCUCCUUAGUUUCUAAACUAGCAGAAUCGUGGGACAUCAAAAGUGGGAAGUUGAUUGUUGGUUUUUUUUCCUCACACUUAAAUGCCGCCAGCUCUGCCUUCCUACUUAAGGCAUCCGCGACCUGGUUGGUCCGUCCAAGCUUAUACUCUAGCACCAUAUCAAUCAAACUUGGCAAGUUUUUAUUGCUUGCCCUGUUUUGGCGUGAGUUUCCUCUGGGUCAGGAAGUCACUCGUCGCCACAUUAUCCGUCUUGACCACGAAUCGUGGCCCGCCUCCACGUUCUCAAGUAGUGCACUAUUGCUGUCAUCUCCUUCUCUUGGACCGCGCCUCUCGGUCUCAUUGAGCUUUCGGCUCUCAUAUGCUACUGGGUUACCUUAUUGUACUAGCACACCGCCUAUGGCAUAGUCUGACGCAUCCGUGUGUACUUCAAAUGGCUUAGUGUGAUCUGGCAACUGCAAUACGGGGUCAUCAAUCACUGCCUGCUUUAGGUCCUCAAAAGCUCUUUGACACUCUUCCGAUCAGUGCAGUGCCAUGAUCGGUCCGUACGUCCUUCUUUCUUUAGGAGAUUUUUGAGUUGAGCAGCCCUCUUCGAGUAACUUACGAUGAAUCUUCGGUAAUAGUUCACGAGCCCUAAAAACGAUCUUAGCUCACUCACCUUGGUAGGUGCUUGCCACUCCUCGAUGGCUCUGAUGCCCAUCCAAUGCCCUAGGAAUAGGAUCUCCGUCUGUCCAAAGGAGCAUUUUUCUUUCUUUACAUAGAGGUGAUUCUUCCUUAAUACCUUAAAAACGGUCCGGAGGUGGCUAACGUGGUCGUUUAACGAAUGGCUAUAGCCCACGAUCAAAGUAUACCACCAGUCGUCUAAGUACGGGUGGAAUAGCUCAUUGUGGAGGGUGCAGAACGUGGCAGGGGCAUUGGUGAGUCCAAAAGGCAUAACCAAAUCAAACGCCCCUUUAUUAGUAAGGUUGCUUGCUUGUCACACAGGUCGUCUUUGGCUCGUCUCCUUCUGUGAUACGCACCUGGUAGUAGCCCGACCGUAGAUCCAACUUCGAUAAGUAUAUCGUCUUGCUUGCUUGCUGGGAGAGAGGAAGCUUCCGGACCACCUUUUCCAGCCAGAUAGCGAGCGAUCACUCAGCAAUGAACACUAACUGAAAGCGGCCGGGAAUGAGUACCUAUCCCUUACGGGAAUCGAACCCGUGUCUUCGACAUGAAAAGACGAUGUCCUAACCACUGGACGAAAGGGACCAAAAAGCCUGAUCUUCGACCACCCUAAGCUCCGAGAAUAGAAGUGGUUCGUUUUGUUUCUAUACGCAAUUCAAGAUUUCGUUUGUGUUCAUGUUGGCGAUUUCUGAUGUGAAUUCGGCGGGUCGUCCCCCCUUCCUACGGGUUCCCCCACCGACCCAGUGACACACCAACCACGCCCCUUCCCUUUCUCCGAUCAUAAAGCCCCCUGAUCCCUUUCUUAGUCUUUCAUCCCCCCUGAAUAAGUAACCGUUCUUUCUAAUUCAAAAAAGAAAAUAGGAAGAAAAACCCGUUUGAAGUGGCGAAGGCCUAUGCUACAGUAAGAAAGAAAGUACGUUAAGGUUACGAAGUCACUUAGUCGAACUAUAAAGAAAGGGAGGCUAAGGUUACGAAGUAAGGUCAGCUGGUUAAGGAAAGCUCAGGUUAUGAAAGAACUUAGCCGUUAAUUAAUUAAUUAAUUAAUUAAGUAGUAGUGAGGCGUCGGUACGGAGUUGCGUCAGCUGUGGAUAUAGACUAGGCUAAGGGACGGACUUCAUCUCUUCUAUUCUCUUCACUUACACCUUACACUUCCGCUGAGUCUAACGAGGCUCAGGUGCGGUGCGGAGCCUCCCACUGUGGACCGAGACUACGCAAAGGUAGAACACCAUAGAAACUUCGCUUACUUUCUCAUAAACCUUGAUUUCGCUACGCUCAAGAAGAACCCGGAAUAGCGGAAAUCGGUUCGUGUUCCGCUUCCAAAGUCAGUCGUCUUUGCCCAAGUGUGAACUGCGGACGACUCUCCAGUGGUUCCAUUCCUUCUUACUUUACUUCUGGGUCAACCCAACCCGAAUGGGAAGAAGAGGGUCAGCCAAACUGCGGUCCACUUUGUACAUUUUCUGAGGCGGACCAAUCAGGCAUUUUUGAAAAGGGAAGGGAACUUCUCACCGAAGGAGGCAGUAGGAAUGAAGGAGGCGGGAAGCUACCGCUUCUAUAAUGCAUUCCUGAUCUUCGACCACCCUUUACUUUUUUUUUAGAGCGUACCGCUAUUGAAAUAAUAAAAAAGGGUUUAUGGAUGAAGUAAUCUCCGUGACAAAUGGUUACGGUUGUGGAAACCGGAUAAAGUCGGGAACCGUCGGUUACCUUUUGAAUCAAAGUAGCGACGAGCCGAGUACUACGACUACAGGGGGGGGGGGGAGCAAAGCCUGGUAGACAGCUUCGUUUCCUUGUGGCUUCUUUCUGGCGACUAGCUUAUCAAGUGGGUGGCUUAGUAAGCCCUAAACGGCCUUCAGCAUCGGUAAAAUCCCUAUCAAUAAUAGGCCGGAAUGGUGGGGAAGGAGGCCCCCCUACUUCAAUGGAAAGGGGGGAAUCGCCGUUUCACAGCCGCUCCUCUACAACUACCUUUCGCCCAACAUGAUCACGAACGAAGACAGAGAAUUGCGUAGAUAGGAGGACGAAACGAACCAACCCACUUGUCCUGAUCGGAACGAUUGAAGAAAGAAAGAGAAUGGUGGCCCCUUUCGCCCAGGGGACAUCGUCGGAGAACAAUGUCGGGGACAGGGUGAGAACCUUCCGUUGGUUACGCCCUUUAAGUGUUGGUUCUUCCUUAGAUAUGGAGAUAGAUCCAGAUAGAGAUCUAUAUCUUUCUAUCGAUAUCUAGAUAGAUCUAUUGAGAAAUGGAUAUUGAUCUGGUUUCAAGAUCUAUGAACAAGAGAGAUCCCUAAAUAUCCAUUUGAAAAAAGAGAUGAAUAGAUAGGGCGGAGCCAGCUGAAGGAAGGUCGCGUUAGCGCCCCUGCAAUCUUUCUAAAGCAAGAAGCGAGAAACUUGACUUUGAGAAAGAAAAAGAAGGGCCUUCUAUUUCCAAUUUGAUUUUAUAUUAGUAAAGGCGCGUUAGCCUAUCUAUAGUAAGGGCCUUUUCUUGCUCGUUAGCGCCCCCCUACCCCUAUUAUCUUUUUUUAGUCAUAAAGGAACUAAAGGAAAUUGGACAACCUUACUAAGGGAAAGAUGCGCUCAAGCAUGCGAAGAAAGCUCUUCGAGCUUCCCUUCUAUUAUAGAAAGGGUGGUCUACGAUCAAACUUCAAAUAUCCCAUAAAUCAAGUAGGGGCCUCAAAGCUAAAGCUUGUAGUUUAGGGGUGCGCAGGUGCUUAACGCCCUAUACAAGGGGCUAGCGCACAAUGGCUUUCUCUGAGAGGGGCUCGCUUCUUCAAGCGGAGCUUGCUGCUUUUCAUUUUGAUAGGAGUAGGUGCUUGUUGCUCGUCAAAGCCGUAGCUUGCUGCUCGCUCGCUGUCUACUAAACGAGCCUUCACUGCCCGCCCGGCCCCUAUCUUUAAUCUUAAGUAAAGUGAAAUCAAAUCAAUGAAGUGAACAGCCCAACCUCUUUGUUUGAAGCUUUGCCAGGAAGCUUCUAUUUGUUGAAGCUUUGCUUCCCCUAAUUCCAAAACACAACAAUAGACUUGCAACUAUAGUAUAGGAAAAAGCUUCUCUUUGAUAGCGGUCAUAGGGGGGUUCAGAAAGGAUCUGAUCGUAGAUAGAGACUUAAACCUGUGCGGGGGUAGGGGCGGAUGUAGCCAAGUGGAUCAAGGCAGUGGAUUGUGAAUCCACCACGCGCGGGUUCAAUCCCCGUCGUUCGCCCAUCAAUAAAUGGACCAUUUGUUACGGAUACACAAGACAAACCUAGAAAGAAUUCUUUCUGCAAGUCAUCUCGAGGCUUUCAAACGCAUCCAAGCAAUUGGUAUCCGAUUGAAACAUAGAAACCAUAGAUUCGCGUCGCCUACUUGCUGAAAGCACAAAUGGAAUGGCUGAUCAUUCAUUGUAUGAAGUUUUCAAUUUAAGACCUCACUAAUCAGCCUUACACUUUUUAGUUCAUAAUGAAUGAAAUGAACCCCCGGAUGAAGAAUAAAUCUCCCCUCCCUUUUACUAAACCAUGGGGAGCCCCGAGUAGUUUACCGGACAAAUUGAGUUGUCGUGACGAUACCUUUCUUAGUGGAAGAUCGGAAAUUAUCUUCAUCACGAGACUGAUCGGAUCUGCCGUAGACACCCGAGAGACCUCCACAAGGCAGGCUAAAAGAGUAAGAGGACAACAAGCAAAGAGUUAUGCUUUCAUUUCUUUGUUGAGAUUGAAAUCAAGUUCUUUAAAAAGGGGGUAGGUAUAAUGCACGCAGGCCAAGUCAAGAAAAGGACUUCCUUACUUUUCUUUCAUAGUCGUCUUAAUGACUAGUAGUUUGAUUUGAAGCCUUAAGAAACCGGUUUUUUUCGGCACUCGGUUCCUUCGUCUUAAGUCAAGUUCAGUUUACUUUUUCGAUUCGGAACUCUUAGUCGAGCUGAUGGCGAGAUCGAUUUUUUGUUCGAGGUUGGUCGUAGAUCAGAGCCUAGCACCUGACCGGAUGAACUCAAACUUUUGAGCCUAAAUAUCUUCCGCAGAAAGGGGGUUCGGCGUACUAAAGAAAACACUCUUUUCAACAACAAAAAACACCGCAAGAAACAACAAAACAAAGAAAUAAUUAAUAUUUCAAAUAUAAAUAGAGUAUAAAAGGAAAAACGUUAGGAGAACUUAAAAGAAAGAAAGAAUAACUAGCAAAAUUACAAACAAGAAAAAAGAAAGCGUUCGUGCCCCUUAUUCGCAAGAGGCACUCACUCGACGAUGAUAAACCGAGAAUAUCCUAACUCGGAACAAAAAAACAAGGAAAUAUAGGUGUCCCAGGAAUCAUAAAAAAAGCUACUGCAAUAAUCCAGAUAACCAUAAAUAUCCACAGAAUGGCAGCAGAAUUCACUCUUUUUUUCCGGUAUAGCUUUCCCGCGACAAGGAAAGGAAAAUAUAAAAGUCAAAAACGAAUAUGUUUUCUUUAGUGAAUAAGUUGACAUCCAUGGCAUUAGCGGGACGGGGGACUAGUAUGACCGGACGAGCUGACAAGAAAGAGUAGAAUCUGCAGAGUUGGAAUGAGAUGCAGAGAGUCUUCCAGGUAAGGAGGCCUUAUUGGGAUCACGUGAAAGUCAAGAAAAAGAACCGUCAAUCGGAAAACAAAUUUUUUAAAAACAGAGAGAGAGAGGGGGAGUGAUCUAUAGUGGAGGGAUACCAGUAGCUUUCACCAUGAACAAUAUCAAAAUGACUUGGGGCGAAACGGGAGAGAUAAUGGCAAAAGGGAAAGCGAAAUUGAUGAGGUCCCCCGGAAGAGUAGAAGGGCUGGUCGGAACGAGAAGGGUGGUCGUAGAUCAGGCUGAUUGAAGAUCAGAAGUGGUCUACGAGAGGGGUAGUACUCUAGGGUAGUUUUCCAUAAGGUUUCUUAGUUGAAACAAAAAAGUAGAGUUAGAACAAUCUUUUUCAAUCAGAUUGAAAUCCGCGUCCGACAACACGAUUCUAUCUUUCUCCAAAGAGGCUAUCGUCCCAAUAUCGCCACGUUUAACUGUCCUGUCGUAUUAAACUUUUGAUAAGCAUCAUUUAAAUUUGUCGUUUUUUUCCAACUCAGAGAGGGGCCAAAAGCAGGGCUCUUUCUUUGAAAAGGGACCGAGCUUUUCUUUUUUCUUCAUUUUAUUUGGAAGAUGGUGAGAAAAAAAGCAGAAUGCGAGAGCUCCCUUUGUGCUAAUUGCGGAAAAGGCGCGUCUCCGGUUCAACUGCCCUUUGCCUGUUAUACCCAAAAAGCGCAGAGGUUCAUGCCGUGUGUGGAUCGAGCUCCGGUCUAGUUGACCUUUCCUGUGAUCGAGACUGUGGUCUACGUGUGUGGUACGUUGGCUAUCGUGGUUCGGUUAGGGUGGCCAGUGCUCUUUCUUUUUGAACAUAACAUAAAAAGUCAAUUGCCGUCAUGCGGUCGGUGCGGCCUAAAGAGCAUCAAUCCACCUUGCGCGUGACUUGCUUGCCUUUCACCAGUAACUCCGCGGAAGCGUUUGGUCCUCUGCGCCAUCACUGAUUGCGUCCGCACUUUUAAAGAGAAGGUUUCGCCUUAAAAGUCAAAGCGCUUGGCAUUGGCUUGCGUAUAGCUCCAUCCUACUAACCGGAAAUAAGGAUUGACUUAUCUUUCUAAAUAUACCCAUUCCUGGGAGGGUGGUCGUAGAUCCGAGAGAGGAAUAGGCGAGCGCCAUUAUGAUUUUGAGUUGUCAGUGCCGUUCUAGUAGUGUUGGUACCUGUGGUCGGUCACUCUUUCUCCGUUGCUUUGCCGGGAAGUCAGUAUAGUGAGAGAAGAGGUAUUCGCGCUUUCUCCUCGCUAACCGCUGGAAAGAUACGUUAUCGAGCCGCUUCGGGACAAGCUUCUUCCUCGCUAGCGAAGCGAUAAACAGAUUGCAAACUGGAUCUUUAUGUGUCUUUGGUCGAGUUGGUCUUUGUUCAGUGAACCUUCCUUACCUUCCAGAUGACUGUUUUAUUUGAAAGUGCAAGUGGAAUGGAUCUUGCGUUGCGGUUCAAGUUCAAGAUGAAGGUGCAAGUUGAAAGUGAAAGUCGUUCUAGGGUCGGGUUCGUCGGUCUUGCUUUCUCGUAUGACGAAGUGAAGUGACUUGCCUGAAUGAGUCUCCGCUUCCGUCUUUGAUCAUCUCCUCUGGUUUUUCUUUUAUGCGUUUGCAACUGUGUGAUCAAGUCAAAAUGUGUGCAUUAGGAUUUGGUCAGUGUUAAGCGCAGUUCAUGUAUCGAGAUUCUACUUGCAGAUGCGGUUGCGCUUCUUUGGUGCGGCACCAAACAAGAAUUUUCAAAGCUGCGCCUAGUUGUUUCGACUAUCACGUUGAGGAAGAGUCCCACUUUGGUCUUUAUUUGGCACGGACAGUAUCUUCAGCUCUAGGGUGAUAUGUCCCGGAUUUUUCGCUAUACGGAAGGGAGCCACUGGUGCUGUGAUUCUGAGACAGGGGAUUCUCGG
rnacentral:lncRNA from 1 species